AUUGAACGCUGGCGGCAGGCUUAACACAUGCAAGUCGAGCGGGGUGAUGGCGCUUGCACUAUCACUUAGCGGCGGACGGGUGAGUAAUGCUUAGGAAUCUGCCUAUUAGUGGGGGACAACAUCUCGAAAGGGAUGCUAAUACCGCAUACGUCCUACGGGAGAAAGCAGGGGAUCACUUGUGACCUUGCGCUAAUAGAUGAGCCUAAGUCGGAUUAGCUAGUUGGUGGGGUAAAGGCCUACCAAGGCGACGAUCUGUAGCGGGUCUGAGAGGAUGAUCCGCCACACUGGGACUGGGACACGGCCCAGACUCCUACGGGAGGCAGCAGUGGGGAAUAUUGGACAAUGGGGGGAACCCUGAUCCAGCCAUGCCGCGUGUGUGAAGAAGGCCUUAUGGUUGUAAAGCACUUUAAGCGAGGAGGAGGCUCUUUUGGUUAAUACCCAAGAUGAGUGGACGUUACUCGCAGAAUAAGCACCGGCUAACUCUGUGCCAGCCGCCGCAGUAA
rnacentral:rRNA from 1 species